ACUUAUCAUAGGUUUACAUGAAUGGGUUUUGAAUAAUAUAUGGUAAGUGUGCUGGUUUUAACAUUAGUUAAUUAGAUUCUCCACCGAAGUGAAGUUGUUGAUACAGAACUAUAGGUUAAUUAUAUUUUCUACCGUAGGAGUGAUAUAGCGAUUUUUCUGUUAUAGGAAAUUAAAGAACUAACGAAAAUGUUAAAUCAAUGACAUUAAUGUGAUAGCAAAAUGUAAAACUACAGUGUUUUAAUGAGUGGCAUAAGUUGGUAAAUAUUGAGGAAAAAUCUGGGCUAAUACUAAAUGUACUUCCCCUUUAAUAGUUUAGAUGCAUCAGGUCUAGACAUUUCAUACAAUAAGAAUGUGGAUCAAAGAUGUGCAAGCUAUGAACUAUUGUCGUCGGAUUCGUCAAGCCUCGCAUGGACAAGACCAGAGACUGAAACUCCCAAUCUCGAUUUCACUUUAGCUACACCAAACCUGCUUCCUCCCUGAUUUACUCUAUCUAUAAGAUAGUAAACAUAAGAACUGUUACAAAUAUCUCAAACUUCUUAAGUUAUAUGCUUUUUUUGUCUCAAAGACAAAGUUAUGCUGGCUUUAUGAAAAAUAUGAAAUGAAGUUUAUUUGUUCGAGUAAAUAUAUUUGUUUUUUGUCCCUUAAA